AUUGCACGCUGGCGGCAGGACUAACAAAUGCAAGUCGAACGAGUGGCGGACGGGUGAGUCAUGUCUGGGAAACUGCCCGAUGGAGGGGGAUAACUACUGGAAACGGUAGCUAAUACAGCAUACCAUCGGAUGUGCCCAGAUGGGAUUAGCUAGUAGGGGGGGGAACGGCUCACCUAGGCGACGAUCCCUAGCUGGUCUGAGAGGAUGACCAGCCAAACUGGAACUGAGACACGGUCCAGACGCCUACGGGAGGCAGCAGUGGGGAAUAUUGCACAAUGUGCGCAAGCCUGAUGCAGCCAUGCCGCGUGUAUGAAGAAGGCCUUCGGGUUGUAAAGUACUUUCAGCGAGGAGUCGUUACUCGCAGAAGAAGCACCGGCUAACUCCGUGCCAGCAGCCGCGGUAAUUC
rnacentral:rRNA from 1 species